CGGGAGCCGGGAGGAGAGCCAGAGCCCGCUCCCGCCGGGCGAGGCUCCCAGCCUCUCCUGCCGGCCCGGCCCGCCGCAGCCCCGCCGCGCCUCCUCAGGGGGCCGGCCGGCGGCACCGCACCCGCCCCGGGCCCUGCCUCUGCCGGGGCUCCGGAACCGCCCCGCCCGGGCUGCUCCUGCCGCGGGGGAGCGCCGCGAUCCGGCUCGGGGACACCGGGGCGUGGGGCGGCAGCGGGCGGGGAGGAGCCGCGGGGCCGCGCCGUGAGGGCGGGGACGGGCGGGGAGCGCACGGCCCUGCCCGGCCCGGUGCUGCUCGCAGAGAGGAGCAGCCCCUACCCUGCCCCGACAGAGGACACAGCUCCGAGGGCAAACUAUGGGACACCCCUGAGGAGCUCCGGUGCUCCCCGUUCAGCACCUCCGGGAAAGGGCUGGGGCUGCGCCCGCCGCUCGGACCGGCGACCCGGACGGGAGCGACCCGGGCCCAGAUCCGGACCCGCGCUGCCCCCGCACCUCGCCCCGGGCAGCGGCGCCUCCCCGCCUCGCUCCGCCGGGAGAACGAGCGCGGAGAGCAGCAGGAUGUGUUCGCGGGUUAAUUGCGGAUUUCGCAGCAAAGCGGUGCGAACUGGGUAGGGAACAAUGAAAUCCUGCCUUCCCGGUGCAUUGUUCAGCCGGCAUCAUCUGAAUGGGCUUGCACUCCGUAAGAUGCGGUCCUUUGAGUGACCCCACCGCAGCUGCAUGGUGCCAAGAGUGGCUGACAGCUUGUAGCCUUUUUUUUUUAUGUAUUUCUUUCUUUUUUUUAUUUUCUUUUCCUGACCACUCCUCUCAGCUCAGCUCUGCCAUCUUUCACAUUCCCUAGCAGACCGUCUUUGUUUUCUCCCAUCCCUUUCCUCGCUUGCCCCCUUCUCCACAUUGUUUUCUGCUUCUAGAAGUCCAAGUUUCGCAGGAGCACCAAGCCCAGGCUCCUUCCAAGCCUCAGACAGAGCAGGUUGUCUCUGAUUGCCUCCUCUGGAGAGAGCAGGUGGAACAGGUUCAGUAAUGUGAUCACUCCUCACAUGGAAGCAACUGUUCUGCCAGAAAAACUUGUAGACUCUUAAAUCAGACUCCUGACAGGUCUCUUUUCAAGGCUUUUAAGUUCCUUGCUCUAUCACUAUUAACUGGAGAAGACAAGUGUUUUAAGAUUUUUUUUUGAGCUUGGUUAGGACAGCUCAUCCUGAGGAGGAAUACAGGCUUAGUUUUAGAAAUUGCCACCCCAGGUUCUGGGAUUUUGUUUCCAGGGGUGACCAGCUCCAGAUCAUUUAACACGGAGUACUCUCUUCUCAUAAAAGACUUGUAGAUUUAGGACUUUUGUGUUGAUGUUUCUUCUGAAAUGCAUUCUAGCAUUAGCGAUGAUCAUUCUAGGUAAUUUUAUUUUCCCUGGUUUUAAUCUUAGUACCUUCUUGGAGUCUGGUAUCCCACAGCAGUGAGCUGGUUAGAAAUAAAAAUUUCCUUUUAUCAGCUGUGUAUCA
rnacentral:lncRNA from 1 species